rnacentral:rRNA from 1 species
GAUGAACGCUGACAGCAUGCUUAACACAUGCCAGUCAUUGGCGAAGCUGCGCUUGCGCAGUCUAGCCAAGGCGGACGGGUGAGUAACGCGUAAGGAACUUGCCCUGCAGACAGGGAUAACAGACGGAAACGACUGAUAACACCUGGUAUUGUCAGGCUGGCGCAUGCCGGCCUGAUGAAAGGAGACGCUGCAGGAGAGCCUUGCGUCCUAUUAGCUAGUUGGUGGGGUAACGGCCCACCAAGGCGAUGAUAGGUAGCCGGCCUGAGAGGGUGAACGGCCACAAGGGGACUGAGAUACGGCCCUUACUCCUACGGGAGGCAGCAGUGGGGAAUAUUGGACAAUGGGGGCAACCCUGAUCCAGCAAUUCUGUGUGCACGAAGAAGGUUUUCGGAGUGUAAAGUGCUUUCAGCAGGGAAGAAGAAAGUGACGGUACCUGCAGAAGAAGCGACGGCUAAAUACGUG